rnacentral:rRNA from 1 species
UUGACCUCGAAUCAGGUAGGAAUACCCGCUGAACUUAAGCAUAUCAAUAAGCGGAGGAAAAGAAACCAACAGGGAUUGCCCCAGUAACGGCGAGUGAAGCGGCAACAGCUCAAAUUUGAAAUCUGGCUCUCGGGCCCGAGUUGUAAUUUGUAGAGGAUGCUUUUGGUGAGGUGCCUUCCGAGUUCCCUGGAACGGGACGCCAUAGAGGGUGAGAGCCCCGUCUGGUUGGACACCGAUCCUCUGUAAAGCUCCUUCGACGAGUCGAGUAGUUUGGGAAUGCUGCUCUAAAUGGGAGGUAUAUGUCUUCUAAAGCUAAAUACCGGCCAGAGACCGAUAGCGCACAAGUAGAGUGAUCGAAAGAUGAAAAGAACUUUGAAAAGAGAGUUAAACAGUACGUGAAAUUGUUGAAAGGGAAGCGCUUGUGACCAGACUUGGGCUUGGUUGAUCAUCCGGGGUUCUCCCCGGUGCACUCUUCCGGCUCAGGCCAGCAUCAGUUCGCCCUGGGGGACAAAGGCUUCGGGAAUGUGGCUCUCUCCGGGGAGUGUUAUAGCCC